rnacentral:rRNA from 1 species
AUGUACCUUCGUUGUGCCGUUCAUGACAACCCCAAGCAUUGGCGCAAGUGGCUGCCAACUGCGGAGUUCUGGUACAACACCUCGUACCAUUCCUCGCUGAACACUUCUCCUUUUCAAGCUCUGUACGGCAAAGAAGCAAACCUUGGGGGACUGCCAGCGAUUGCAACUCACUUGCCCGAGCACACAGGGGAUGAACUGGACUGGGUCACUCACAACGACAAGCUACGCGCGCAACUGGCCCAUGCACAGAACCGAUGCAAGCAACAGGCAGACAGACACAGGAUUGAGCGCUCGUUUAAUGUGGGUGAUCAAGUGCUGCUCAAACUCCAGCCAUAUGUCCAAUCCACAGUGGCCAACCGCCCCUGUCCCAAGCUGGCAUAUAAAUUCUUUGGCCCCUUCACGGUUGAGCAGCGCGUGGGCGCCAUGGCGUACAAGCUGGAGCUACCACAGAACAGUCGCAUUCACCCCGUCUUUCAUGUUUCGCAGCUCAAGCCGUUCACGCAAGACUACUCGCCGGUCUUCUCCGAGCUUCCACGCACACCUGACCUGUCCGCUGCACCUCUGCAGCCGGUGGCCAUCCUCGAGCGCCGCAUGGUCAAGAAGGGGAGCAGUGCAAUCGUCCAGGUACGCGUCUAGUGGUCAUCAUUGUCACCUGAUUCGGCUACAUGGGAGGACUACACCAUGCUGCGUCACCGCUACCCACAGGCUCCUUGCUGGGAUAAUGUCGCUUCCGCUCAAGGAGGAGAGCAUGUCACACCUGAUGCUUCCACAUUGGUGGACUAG